rnacentral:rRNA from 1 species
GAUGAACGCUGGCGGCGUGCCUAAUACAUGCAAGUCGAGCGAACAGACGAGGAGCUUGCUCCUUUGACGUUAGCGGCGGACGGGUGAGUAACACGUGGGUAACCUACCUAUAAGACUGGGAUAACUUCGGGAAACCGGAGCUAAUAGAGGAUAAUAUUUCGAACCGCAUGGUUCGAUAGAGAAAGAUGGCGCUGCUAUCACUUAUAGAUGGACCUGCGCCGUAUUAGCUAGUUGGUAAGGUAAAGGCUUACCAAGGCAACGAUACGUAGGCGAUGUGAGAGGCUGAUCGCCCACACGAGAACUUAGACACGGUCCAGACUCCUACGGUAGGCAGCAGUAGGGAAUCUUCCGCAAUGGGCGAAAGCCUUACGGAGCAACGCCGCGUGAGUGAUGAAGGUCUUCGGAUCGUAAAACUCUGUUAUUAGGGAAGAACAACCGUGUAAGUAACUGUGCACGUCUUGACGGUACCUAAUCAGAAAGCCACGGCUAACUACGUG